CAACAAUUAUUAGACGGAGCGAAGCGAAGUCUCUAAGAAUCAUACAAAGCUCUGAGGUGAAACAAAAGUUGCUUCAUUUUGUGGCUGAAAUGAUUGGAUAUCAAUGUGUGCAAAAAUAUAGCUGAAUCUGAAUGAUUUUAGAGGAGAUUUUUGCAUCUAUAUAAUCUCCCGCUGCGAAAUACCCCCUAUUCUUACCCCUGAAUUAUCUGCCUACCUGCAUACCUACCUGCUCGAUAUCCGAUCGAUUGCUAAUAGAAUAGGAAAUGCUAGCUAGAUAGCUAGCUAGCUAUCUGCCUCCCUCCCUACCAACCAACCUGCCUGCUCAAUAUCCAACCAAUCUCUAUGAGAAUCUACAUCAUCAUCUAGCUACCCACCUACCUAUCAAUGCCAACUUACUAGCCCACUACCUGCCUAUAUAUCUACUGACCGGCUUGAAUGAAUGAUAUUCACCGAUGAUAUCUAUUGAUAACAUCUAGCGAUGAUAUAUACCAAUGAUAUCUGCGAUGAUAUUGUUGAAUAGCAACAUAAUGAAUGACUUCGCACUUUCACUCCGUCCUGCUCCAGCUGCAUGUUUCAUGAAGCUCCUGCGAUAGAGUGUUGUGCCUGAGCUUUCCAACCCGUUGAAGAAAUUAAAGAUGCCUUCAUCUCUGGGAAUUAGAGGUUCAUUUGCCCACCACCAAAAGGG
rnacentral:sRNA from 2 species